rnacentral:rRNA from 1 species
GGACUACUGGGGUAUCUAAUCCUGUUUGCUCCCCUAGCUUUCGUGCAUCAGUGUCAGGAGUUGUCCAGAGACUCGCCUUCGCCACUGGUGUUCCUCUCGAUAUCUACGCAUUUCACUGCUACACCGAGAAUUCCAGUCUCCCCUCCAACCCUCGAGCGAAAUAGUAUUCAAUGCAGUUUCCGGGUUAAGCCCGGAGAUUUCACAUCAAACUUAUUCCGCCACCUACGCACCCUUUACGCCCAGUGAAUCCGAACAACGCUUGGGACCUCUGUAUUACCGCGGCUGCUGGCAC